GACGAACGCUGGCGGCGUGCUUAACACAUGCAAGUCGAACGGAAAGGCCCUGCUUUUGUGGGGUGCUCGAGUGGCGAACGGGUGAGUAACACGUGAGUAACCUGCCCUUGACUUUGGGAUAACUUCAGGAAACUGGGGCUAAUACCGGAUAGGAGCUCCUGCUGCAUGGUGGGGGUUGGAAAGUUUCGGCGGUUGGGGAUGGACUCGCGGCUUAUCAGCUUGUUGGUGGGGUAGUGGCUUACCAAGGCUUUGACGGGUAGCCGGCCUGAGAGGGUGACCGGCCACAUUGGGACUGCGAUACGGACCAGACUCCUACGGGAGGCAGCAGUGGGGAAUAUUGCACAAUGGUCGGAAGCCUGAUGCAGCAACGCCGCGUGCGGGAUGCCGGCCUUCGGGUUGUAAACCGCUUUCGCCUGUUACGAAGCGUGAGUGACGGUAAUGGGUAAAGAAGCACCGGCUAACUACGUG
rnacentral:rRNA from 1 species